CGUGAAUCAUGGAGGCGCCGUUGAGGUGACCCUCCCCGCCUCCUGCGACUUCAACGUUACGGUUGCCGGUGGAUCACACAAGAUUCGGUUUGACAGCAUAGUCAGUGGGGUUAUCCAGCCCGGAUCCAUAACUCAACUGGGCGGCGUGAGGAUCCAGUUUGAGUGGGAUUUUCUUGCAUUCCACACGGUUCAACGCGUCGGUGACAAGCUCAGGUUUACUGGUAGUGAGCAUGCAGCCACGUUCGACCAGUCAUUUCCGGUUAGCAACUUCGUGCAGAGCCCCAGGUGCAGCUAAGGGCCUGAUUGAUUAGGGAUGCAUCGCACGCAUGCUUUACUAUAAAUGUAUGCAAUAUGCAUGUGUCUUUGUGAGUCCGUUGCUUUAUGUAGAAUGAAUAAAUUGAUUAUGUAAUCAGUCAUGGUUCCAAGACCUAAUAUUAUUGUGAUGAUCAUUUUUUGCCCAGUUAUUUAUUGUAAGAUGUUGCAAUGGUUCCUCCUAACCACAGGAACUAGAAAUUCCACAUGAUAUACUCUGUCGGAGUCUCGCAGGUAAUUAGAAAUAAUCUUGAUCUACAUAGCAUCGAGUGUUUGAUAAAAAACUACCACUUUAGAGAUAUCUGUCCCACAAAAGUACCACUUUUUAAAAAGUGACCAAAUACUACAAAAAUUUCUUAAUUUUGUGACUAAAAACUACCAGUUUCAGAUAAUGACGAGUUUAAAUGAUUUAAACACGUUUAUGACAUGAAGGGCCCACUAGUCAAGGUUGACGUGCGGCAAAGUCAACUCCGUUUAUUUUGACCGUCGAGUUGACCGUUAUUAUAGGUGGGGCCACACAUCAGCGCCCUGGUCAGCGUCUACAUUCUUCUUCCUCCCUCUUUUAGGCAUUUCAACGAACAUCUUGUACUCGAAACAAAAUCAAUCGAUGCUGCCGCUCGCCGAGGACCACCUCCUCGCGCCCCGGUGCAUCGAGUCGCGGAUCCACAUCACGUUGCACGAGUAGCAGUAGCAUGCAGCGGGGUGGCAGAUGUGGUAGACCAGCGACCGCCAGACCCAGCAGCGGAAGGCGGUGAAGGUAUGCGCCGAAGCCCCAGGCGUCCUCAAGCACCAUCAUCACCGAGGCUACGCACCACACCGCGCCGACGUGCGCAGCCCCGGCAAAGUGCACAAUGCCUCCCGGCAGCAGGGCCUCCUGCGUGGAGCCGAGGAGGAGGAGAAAGGCGUGAAGGCAAGUGGUUGUGAGGUGCCCGGCAACCUUGCGCCCGGUCCAGACAAGGCGCGCGGCGCUGCGGGAGUUGCCUCAAAAGACGAACAUGACGGACUUGGCGAGGAAUGUGAGGACGGUGUGGACAUCACGCCCGAUUGAGCGGGCGUCACGGUCGGCGUCACCGUCGCCUGUCGUCGACAUAGAGCGCGAUGACCCGCACACACACCUCGUCCUCCGAGAGCGAGCGCGACGCUCGUGGAGGUGCCUCUGCUGUUGACCAGGAGGCAGGCACGGCGCCAUGCUCGGACUUCCAUCGCGUCUGUGUUGAAUGCGGCCGUGGCGGCCUCUUCGUCGCUCACUCUCAUGGCCGGCAGUCAGAGCAACUCCAAAGGGCCGACCCAUUUCGUCCGCCUGCGUCCGUUUGGGUCAGCACGGACAAAAGUGGCGGCCUAACGCGCCGACCCAAACCCAAAUCACGUCUGCGUCAUGUCCGCGCCGACGCAUUUGCGGCCCAAAUUUGUGCCCCAAAUGCGUCAGCGCGGACAUCGAACGGACGCUUCGCGCGCCUUCUCGCUAUCCGCCGCGUCCCCACAUGGCGGCUGUCCAACUACCCGCUGCCCACGCGGUCAGCUUAAUUUAUGAUGACGGGCCCACGCAUCAACGAUGGCGCUCGUCCUUUUUUAUGCCGACCGUGCGGCGGGGCCGUCCUCAUCCAAACUCGCCGUCCACAUCUGCCCACCUUUGCUCCCUCGUCGCCGGCAAACCCUAGCCACCACAACCACAGCGAGAUGGGCCUCUUCUCCGGCGCCAGCGGCAGCAAGGCCAAGGGCAAGUCCCCCGCCACCCCUUACCUCGAGAUGGGGCGCCAGCGCCGGCUGGCAGAGGAGCGCCGUCGCGAUGAGUACGAGGAGAUGCUUGAGCGCGACCUCGAGGAGGAGCAGCGCGAGGCCGAGGAGGAGGCGCGCCAGGCCGCGGCUGCACAGGCGGCCACACACCCCCCGGCACUGCCUGCACCGGCACAGCCCGACAUGACGGCACUCUGGAACACGGUGUUCCCCUGGGCCGGGCCGGCGCCGACGCUCAUCAACCUCAUGGACCCCGAGGACGACAACGACGCCUAGGGCAGCGCGCCGCCUCGUAGUUUAGGUUGUUUUUAGUUUUUUAAAUGCAAAUGCAGGCGCGUGGACUCUCGCCGGCCUUCGUGGCCAGCUUUAAUGUUUAAUUAAUGUUGUUUCUCUUUUUUUAAUAUGCAUGUGUUCAUUUUUUGGCGCUGUCAAAAUGGGUCUCAGGCCAGCGUUGGGCGCACGCGCCGACCCAAAUGCAGAAGCUAGCAUCCGUGUCCGUCUGGCCGACCCAAACAGACAAAAAGCGGACGAAAUCGCCGUCCGUUUGGUUCGGCCCGUUGGAGUUGCUCUCAGCUUCGCGUUCUCGACGGUGUCCAUGCUUUGUUCCAUCAUGCUGGCACAAACACUGGUGUUCGUUGAAAUGCCUAAGAGAGAGAAAAGAGGAGGAAGAAGAAUGUAGGCGCUCACGUGUGGGCCCUGCCUGUAAUAACGGUCAAUUUGACGGUCAAAUUGAAUGGAGUUGAUUUUGCCGACACGUCAGCCCUGACGAGUGGGUCCCGCAUGUCAUAAACGUGUUUAAAUCAUUUAAAUUCGCAAUUAUCUGAAACUGGUAGUUUCUAGUCACAAAAUUAAGAAAUUUUGGUGGUUUUCGGUCACUUUUUAAAAAGUGGUAGUUUUGUGGGACGGAUAUCCCUAAAGUGGUAGUUUUUUGUCAAACACUCACAUACCAUCAGAUCCAAGGGUGUCCGAUGGGUUGUAAAAUAUCACAGGGCUUACUGGAAAGUAGAAGAGCAAAACAACUCAGUCCUAAUGUGUCCUUCCUCCGUUCCUAAAUAUAGGUCUUUCUAGAGAUUUCAACAGGUGACUACAUGCGAUGCAAAAUAAGUGAAUCUGGAUUCUGAAAUAUGUCUAUAUACAUUCGUAUAUGGUAGUCCAUUUCAAAUCUCGAAAAAGACUUAUAAUUAGGAACGGAGGGAGUAAUAUUCUUUAUGAUAUUUGACAUUAACAACCACUAAAAUAAGAAAGGAGAGCAAGGUAUAUUUGAUCUUUCAUUCCCCAUGCAUUGUAAGUUCUACAUGUUAAGGCUGGUCGUAAUGGUAGUAUCAUAGGUAGUUUCACGUAUGUCAACUAGACAAAUUUGAUGAGGUGGCACAGAAUUAAAUGAAGAAAAAGAGGGUUGAGUAUCAUAUCAUGAUACCGUAUCAUGUUGAAUGAUGUGCUACUAUGUGUAAUGCAUGGCAAUAAAUGAUGUUAGCUAUGAUACUAACAUAUAAUAGUAUCAUACACUAGUAUCAUAUGCAUUAUACUAAUAUAUGAUACUCGCCAUUACGGCCAGCCUAAUAAAUGCCUAGACUCUUAUUUAGUUGAUUUGCAGAAUGUUCUCUAGAAAUAAUCACAGCAUUUCUCUAAAAAAGAUAACAUUGCUGAAAAUCAUGGAAAAAACAUCAGCAAUCUUUGUUCUUUUAGGGGAUCAGCUAUAUUUGACGGCAUGCAUAAAGUAAGUAUAUUCCAAUAUUCAGUGAGCAAAUCCCCAAGUAGUAAUUGCUGGAAUUUAGUUUACUGGAAUUUAGUUUAUUUUGGGCAGCCCAAUAACUAUUUCAAAAAUUCCUAAUAAAUCCUAGAGGCCCACUUAGCCUACUUGUGCAAGGCAAGGGAUACUACUAAAGUUUAGUCCCACAUUGCUAGUUUAGUGGGAGUUGGACCUCCUUAUAAGGGAGGUUCUUUCCCCACUUGUACGAGCAUGAGAACAAGAGUGAUAUCCACGCGCGCUCCUCCGCCGCCGCCCGCCUCGCCACGCCACGCCUCGCCACGCCACGCCUCGCCAUGAGCCGCGCCGCGGGUUGCGGGAAUGAGCCGAGCAGAUAUCUAAAUUUUUACCACGCACUAUGGGCAUAUGAAAGGUCACACGGAAGCUGAAAAGAUUUUUGCGAAAGUGGAGUUCGAAUGCGAACGGUGCAGCCCUUCGGCUGCUGGCUGUUCGCUUCGCCUCCGUCUCUUUGUUUCGCCUUCCGUCGCUGCCCUCUCGCCUCCUUCUCUUGCGCCUAUAAAAGGAAGGUCGCUCCUCCCAGAGAGAUGCACCAGAACUUCUCCUUCCUCUCGCCAUCGGUUCCAUCUCGGAGCUGUUGUUGUCUUCCUCAUCCUGGCUUGCAGCGUGCACCGCACAUCGGCACAGUAGGCCUCCGAAACCGCACCUCUUUGAGUCAUGUACGGGAGAAGGGUGAUAAGGUUUUUGGGGAGCUCUCUGCGCGACUACUGACUGACUCCUUCGUCACGGACGCCCGGACUCCGACGACUACUUCCCCGACGUCGACAACCUCCUCGACGACAUGGCUGGCGCGGACACCGACCCCAAGUCCAGUGCUACUGCUGCUGCUGUCCCAUACGUGUUCUUCUUUCUGUUAGAUGUCCUGCCACAGUUUCUCAUACUAGUACUUGCUCUAGAUAUGUUAGGUUCUACUUCAUAUAUGCAACUAGUUCUAAUGUCUGCUAUAGAUAUGCUAGGCUACGGUUCAUAUAUGCAGAAGCUAUUUACCUUCUCUCUAUCAUAAAGCAUGACUUGUUUUAUCUCUAUUAUAUUAGUCAUGCUUUAUCUAGUAUUUCUGUUAAUAAAAUCAUUUGGUAAAUUGCUCAUAUUUCCAACAAUCCAAAAACCUUAUAAUAGGCAAUUUACCACAAGUGGUUUUGCUGCUUCCAUGAGACCUCCUAUGUUUGAGGGUAUCCACUAUAAGAGGUGGCGCGUGAGAGCAGUCUUAUGGUUUCAAACCGUGAGUUGCUAUGACGCCACUCUCGGCAAACCUGAAGGGGAGCUUGAUGCUCAACAGGCACAAGCCUUUCAGAAAAUGGAUACUUUGUUUAAGGCUGCUCUCUUGAGUGUUCUUGGUGAGAACAUAGUUGAUGCUUAUGCAUGAAUUGAUAAUGGAAAAGAUAUGUGGAAUGCACUCGAGGCCAAGUUUGGGGUCUCGGAUGCUGGCACUGAGCUGUACAUCAUGGAGCAAUUCUAUGAUUACAGGAUGACUGAAGACCGCUCCGUGGUUGAGCAAGCUCAUGAGAUACAGUCAUUUGUUAGAGAACUUGAGCACUUCGGUUGUAUACUACCGGACAAGUUUGUUGCCGGAGGUAUCAUCACUAAGCUUCCUCCUUCAUGGAGGAACUUUGCUACCUUGCUGAAGCAUAAGAGGCAGGAGUUUUCCGUCCCGGAUCUCAUUGGCACUCUUGAUGUGGAAGAAAAAGUGAGAGCAAAGGACACACGUGCUCGAGGUAUUGAGGGAGGAUCUAUUGCCAAUGUGGUACAGAAGCAGAACUUCCAGCCCCACAAGUUCAAGAACAAGGGCAAGUUUGAUGGUAAAGCAAAUUUUGAUGGGAAGAACAAGGCUGUCCAGCACAAGAACUUCAAGAAGAAGAAUGACAAGAAGAAAGGUGUCUGUCAUGUGUGUGGGGAUCCUGAUCAUUGGGCUCCUAGUUGCUCUAAUCGCUAUGACAAGCGUCAUCCUGGGAAAGGCAGCAAGACCGCUAAUGUUGUCAUUGGAGACACUGACAUGAAGGAUGCUGGGUAUGGUAUAUUUCCCACUAUUCUUUCAGUAUGUCAUUCUCCUGAUUGGUUGAUUGACACGGGUGCUAAUGUGCAUGUAUGCGGUGAUAUUUCCAUGUUUUCGUCUUAUCAGACCGCAGGGACUUCAACCGUGAUGAUGGGCAAUGGUUCAAGUGCUUCUGUUCGUGGUGUUGGCACGGUCGAUCCGAAGUUUACUUCGGGGAAGAUCGUGCGGCUGAAGAACGUGCAUUAUGUCCCCGCCGUCAAUAAAAAUCUUGUUAGCGGAUCUCUUCUGUGUAGAGAUGGCUACAAGCUUGUUUUUGAGUCGAAUAAAUUUGUAAUAUACAAGUAUGGAACCUUUGUUGGUAAAGGCUAUGAGUCAGGAGGCCUGUUUCGUUUAUCCUUAUCAGACGUUUGCAAUAAAGUUAUUAAUCAUAUUUGCAACAAUAGUGAAUCAAUUGUGUGGCAUUCACGUCUUUGUCAUGUUAACUUUGGUUGCAUGUCGCGACUAGUGAAGUUGAACUUAAUCCCUAGUUUCACCACUGUCAAGGGAUCUAAGUGGUAAGUGUGUGUGCAAGCUAAGCAACCUCGUAAGUCUCACACGACUAUGGAAACGAGAAAUCUUGCACCACUAGAGCUCAUACAUUCAGAUCUAUGUGAAAUGAAUGGUGUUUUGACAAAAGGUGGAAAGAAAUAUUUCAUGACGUUAAUUGAUGACUCCACUAGAUACUGUCGUGUGUAUCUUCUGAAAUCUAAGGAUGAAGCUUUUAACCUUUUCAAGAUCUAUAAAGCUGAAGUGGAAAACCAACUUGAUCGAAAAAUCAAGAGGCUUAGGUCCGACCGUGGUGGAGAGUAUUUUUCCAAUGAAUUUGAUGCUUUUUGUGUGGAACAUGGUAUAAUCCAUGAGAGUACACCUCCCUAUUCACCUUAGUCAAAUGGGGUGGCUGAAAGAAAGAACCAUACUCUAACAGAUUUGGUUAAUGCCAUGUUAGACAGUUCGGGUCUCUCCAAGGCAUGGUGGGGGAGGCGAUAUUGACUGCAUGUCAUGUCCUAAACCGAGUUCCCACCAAGAACAAAGAGAUAACUCCAUUCGAGGAAUGGGAGAAGAAAAGGUUAAAACUCUCUUAUCUACGAACAUGGGGUUGUUUGGCGAAAGUCAAUGUUCCAAUUCCAAACAAGCGGAAGCUUGGACCAAAGACUGUGGAUUGUGUUUUCCUAGGAUAUGCUUUUCAUAGCGUUGGCUAUAGAUUCUUGGUUGUAAAAUCUGAGGUACCUGAAAUACAUGUCGGUACGAUCAUGGAGUCGAAUGAUGCAACUUUCUUUGAAGAUAUCUUUCCCAUGAAGGAUAUGGCUACCUCAUCUAAUCAGGAGAUGCCUAGUUCAUCGAAUCAGGAAUCAGUUACAAUUACCGAACCUACCAUUUCGAUGGAACAAUUUGAAAGUCAUGUGGAGGAGAACAAUGAAGUUCCUAUUAGGAGCAAGAGACAGAGGACUGCAAAGUCCUUUGGUGAUGAUUUUCUUGUGUAUCUCAUAGAUGACACUCCCAGUUCUAUUUCAGAGGCUUAUGCAUCUGAAGAUGCUAACUACUGGAAGGAAGCGGUGUAUAGCGAGAUGGAUUCCAUCUUAGCGAAUGAAACUUGGGAGAUAACUAAUCGUCCUUAUGGGUGCAAACCUAUAGGAUGCAAAUGGGUAUUCAAGAAGAAGCUUAGUCCUGAUGGUACUAUUGAAAAGUACAAGGCUCGGCUCGUUGCUAAGGGUUAUACCCAAAAGGAAGGUGAAGACUUCUUUGAUACUUACUCACUUGUGGCUUGACUGACCACUAUUCGAGUUCUACUUUCACUAGCUGCCUCACAUGGUCUUCUCGUUCAUCAAAUGGAUGUUAAGACUGCUUUUCUAAAUGGAGAGUUGGACGAGGAAAUUUAUAUGGAACAACCAUAUGGGUUUGUACUAGAUGGUCAGGAAGGAAAAGUGUGCAAGUUGCUGAAGUCUUUGUAUGGACUCAAGCAAGCACCCAAACAGUGGCAUGAGAAGUUUGAAAGAAUUUUAACAGCCGCAGGCUUUGUUGUAAACGAAGCUGACAAAUGUGUGUACUAUCGCCAUGGUGGGGGCGAGGGAGUUAUCCUUUGCUUGUAUGUUGAUGACAUAUUGAUUUUUGGAACAAAUCUAAAUGUUAUUAAGGAGGUCAAGAAUUUCCUAUCUUGCUGUUUUGAGAUGAAGGAUUUAGGAGUGGCUGAUGUCAUUUUGAACAGUAAGUUGUUGAGAGACGAUGAUGGUGGGAUUACAUUGCUUCAAUCUCACUAUGUGGAAAAGAUCUUGAGUCGCUUUGGCUAUAGUGACUGCAAGCCCUCUCCAACACCAUAUGAUGUGAGUGUGUUACUUCGAAAGAAUCGAAGAAUUGCUAGAGAUCAAUUGAAAUAUUCUCAGAUUAUUGGCUCGCUUAUGUACUUAGCAAGUGCUACAAGACCUGACAUCUCUUUUGCUGUUAGCAAACUGAGUCGGUUUGUCUCAAAACCAGGAGAUGUGCAUUGGAAAGCUCUAGAGAGAGUUUUGCAUUAUUUGAAAGGCACUGCAAAUUAUGGAAUUCACUACACCGGGCAUCCAAAGGUGCUUGAAGGGUAUUGUGACUCAAACUGGAUCUCAGAUGCUGAUGAGAUAAAGUCCACGUGCGGUUAUGUAUUCACUCAUGGAGGUGGCGCUGUUUCUUGGAAGUCUUGCAAGCAGACCAUCUUAAUGAGGUCAACAAUGGAAGCAGAACUCACAACACUAGAUACAGCUACAGUUGAAGCAGAUUGGCUUCGCCGGCUCUUGAAUGACUUGCCGGUUGUUGAGAAACCUGUACCGGGUGUCCUUAUGAACUGCGACAGUCAAACUGUGAUCACGAAAGUGAGCAGCUCAAAGGAUAACAUGAAGUCAUCAAGACACGUUCAGAGAAGGUUAAAGUCUGUCAGGAAAAUGAAAAACUCCGGAGUUAUUGCGUUGGAUUAUAUCCAAACGUCUAAAAAUCUGGCAGAUCCUUUUACUAAGGGUCUAUCACGUAAUGUGAUAGAUAAUGCAUCGAGGGAGAUGGGUAUGAGACCCACAAUAUGAGUUGUUCAUAGUGGUAACCUAUUCUUUGUGAUCGGAGAUCCCGUGAAUUAGAUGUGGAAGACAAGCUGUUGGUCAACUGAGAGGAGAGUAUCCUUACUAUUCACAAUACCACUCCAUGAAGAUGCAAUACUCUCCUAAUCUACAUGGCAGGUUGAUGUAUACCUUAAUGUGUUCUAAGUGGCUUAUUUAAGCAGAGAUGUUAUCCUGCAGAACAUCUUUUGAAGAACACACCUAUAUGAGUCUGAUUGUCAAAUGUCGCAAUAUCUAUGAGAGUAGGGUUCUCUCUAGUAAACUCAUAAAAUGUCACGGAGUAUGACGCAUAAGCUCCAGCCGCGGGGAAGACCCACGGUAGCCACGUAUCGGUCAAGGCUUUAUGUUAAGCUAGAUUCGCAGAAAACUUGCACUUCAAGGCCCAGUCCACUGUUCAAGUUGCUUACUAGUGUAGCAUAGAGUUCUAGGUGAAAGUUCAACUUAACAGUCUCCACUGCAGUACCGAUAUAUAAAACAAUGUUUUGGAACCAAAGGCAAAUUUUUGUGUGCCUCUGGGAUCUGGUGGGGGAUUGCUGGAAUUUAGUUUAUUUUGGGCAGCCCAAUAACUAUUUCAGAAAUUCCUAAUAAAUCCUAGAGGCCCACUUAGCCCAUUUGUGCAAGGCAAGGGAUACUACUAAAGUUUAGUCCCAUAUUGCUAGUUUAGUGGGAGUUGGACCUCCUUAUCAGGGAGGUUCUUUCCCCACUUGUACAAGCAUGAGAACAAGAGGGAUAUCCACGCGCGCUCCUCCUCCGCCGCCCGCCUCACCACGCCGUGCCGCGCCGCGGGUUGCGGGAAUGAGCCGAGCCGAUAUCUAAAUUUUUGCCAUGCACUACGGGUAUACGAAAGGUCACACGGAAGCUGAAAAGAUUUUUGCGAAAGUGGAGUUCGAAUGUGAACGGCGCAACCCUUUGGCUGCUGGCUGUUCGCUUCGCCUCCGUCUCUUCGUUUCGCCUUCCGUCGCUGCCCUCUCGCCUCCUUCUCUUGCGCCUAUAAAAGGGAUGUCGCUCCUCCCAGAGAGACGCACCAGAACUUCUCCUUCCUCUCGCCAUCGGUUCCAUCUCGGAGUUGCUGCUGUCUUCCUCAUCCCGGCUUGCGGCGUGCACCGCAUGUCGGGACAGUAGGCCUUCGAAACCGCACCUCUUUGAGUCAUGUACGGGAGAAGGGUGAUAAGGUUUUUGGGGAGUGCUCUGCGCGACUACUGACUGACUCCUUCGUCACGGACGCCCUGGACUCCGACGACUACUUCCCCGACGUCGACAACCUCCUCGACAACAUGGCUGGCGAGGACACCGACCCCAAGUCCAGUGCUACUACUGCUGCUGUCCCGUACGUGUUCUUCUUUCUGUUAGAUGUCCUGCCAUAGUUUCUCGUACUAGUACUUGCUCUAGAUAUGUUAGGUUCUACUUCAUAUAUGCAACUAGUUCUACUGUCUGCUAUAGAUAUGCUAGGCUACGGUUCAUAUAUGCAGAAGCUAUUUACCUUCUCUCUGUCAGAAAGCAUGACUUGUUUUAUCUCUAUUAUAUUAGUCACGCUUUAUCUAGUAUUUAUGUUAAUAAAAUCAUUUGGUAAAUUGCUCAUAUUUCCAACAGUAAUUCCCAUUCAGCAACAUGGACGAUAAUAAUAUUUUCUUGUGAUCCGUAACAAAAGUUCAAAAUUAGCCAAAAUACUGAAGGGGGAUGUCCCGGUAGCUACACCAACUUUCUAUGGCCAGAAUCGGUGGAAUCGGAUGCGACGGCCCAAGAUUUGGUAGCAGACAUCCCGGACGGCAGGGUGGUGGCGGGGCUGAGAACGGCCGAUUGAGUCGCGGCGGUGGCAUGCGCUGCGACAGUCGGUCAGAGUAGGUGUGGCGACCGUCAGCGGUGGGGUAGUCUCAUCACGAGUGGUUGGGUUCCUGCUGCAUUGUUUUUGGUUUCAGCGCAGCUGCUAGAUAUGUGUAACAAAAUUUUGGGUAAUUUUCUUUUGCAACAUAUGGGUAUAUAGGGCAUCUUUUGGACACUUUUUGUUUGCCCAAAGUGACCUAACUGACAACUUUUUUGACACAACGGCUAUUUUAAAGAAAGCAUAUUAAGCUGAGUGUGCAGACCACCUAGCAAAGGCUGAUUUCACCUCGACGGGUUUGACACUCAGCGUAACGCACUCAGGGUACAUCAUGUCGGUCGACAUACCGACGUAAGCCGAGUGCCUUUGGUCCACUAGUAGAGAAAUGACAGAACAAAACAUCGUAGGGUGUGCGAUGGGUUGUCCGAUUGUGAAUUAUGUCUGGUGCUAUGUUUGCUUGUAAAAAAUGAGUAAUUGUAUAAUGUAGCACUUAUUUUAGACCUAGUCGAGCCCAUUCAUCGCACACGAUUUUGAAAGAGUGUGCAUUGGCACCCCAAUCGCCAACCCAUCCGAGCACACGAUUGUUAAUUAUAACCGUAUGUGAUGGACCCUUCCUAUUGCACAUAGUUUGUAUGUUCUAACUGUGUGUGAUGGACUCAAUAUCGCAUACAGUUUUUAUGCUCUAACCGCAGCCUAGGCUCGAGAUUAACCCAACGCGAUGGUUGAUGAACUAUGAGCAGGCCCUUCUACUAUGUUAGUGAUCACUAGUUUAAAUAGGUAUUAUACUUCUCUCUUAUCUCCUGGCUGGGAUUUGGAUGAUGGCAUCAGGCGGUGUAAUCGUGUAGCUAUGAUGGUGGACGGGCGGCUAGUUAAGAAACCAAUUUCCGCAAUUUCAAAUUCUAAUCCCUAGCAAUUCCUCUUGAUCGAGUGAGUUGCUCAUGGUUGGUAUAAGAUUCAGUGGUCCUAGAGUUGCCGCGACACCAUCACUGGACGCGGUGGCGUGAUCGGCGAUGAGCGGAGGCGAUGGACAAGUCGUCUGAGGAAGGGUGCAGCAUGUACGCGCUUCAACGAGCAUAUUGCACCAUAGGUCUGGACCGACUCUUCAAGGAUCACGAUGAGAACCUCCUUCAAGCGGUCGACAAUCUCAUCCAAUCCAACACUGCCACGCUCGAUGGCUUGCUUUCGGCUCAUGACCCAACAAUUAUAAUAGUAUGGAACAAUAAAAAAUUAUAAAUACGUUGGAGACGUAUCAUAAACCAACAAGAUCUAAAUUAAAUAUAUUGCUUGGAGUUGCUUUUAGUUUAGUUGCAUUGCACAAUUUUUUAAGAGAAGCGGAAGGUGGAGAGGUAGGCACAUGCUCCUCCGCACUCUUCAUUUUGGAUAUGGGUACUGAGCCUCUCUGACGGUCUGGGAGUUCAUGCUAUAACAUUGUGGAAAUUUUGACCGAGAUGUUAGGUAUGAGUCUGUGCUGGGCUAAGUAGGCAUCCUGAAAGAGAUGAUCUCCACAAUGAGGAGAUAAUCAUUCUAUGCACCGCAUACCGAUGUAAAACUCAAGUAUAUCUAAAUGAAAUAUUUCUUUCUUGCGGGUGUUUUAUGAUUUAGUUGCACUGCACAACAUUAUUUGAAGAGAAGAGAACCCUCAUUGGUACCAAAUCCAACAUAAAGGAUCAAACUGUUGGGGAUGUUGAUGUUUUCCCUUGAUUCAUUUUUAGGUUUUUGCAUAUGUUUCAUAUGUUGGCUGUGAAGUGCGUAAAUGAAUGUUGCUCUGAAAUUUCAAUUCAAUAUGCAGGUCUAUUAUGAGAUGCAAAGCUUUGUGCAAAUGAAUGAUGUAUGCCUAUGUUUAUUUGAAUGUUUACUUUCAAUUUCAUUCAUGUGACUAGUUAAGUAAUAAAAAAAUUGAGGAGUGUUUCAUCUGACUAUCAUUAGCCGGGGAGAGUUCCUAAAGAAAACAUUUAUACCCCUAACAUCUUCUUUUAGAAAGGAGGCGCUUGCUCGGCCUUAAAUUGAGGCCCUUAGAGCAUCUCCAACAGGCGCCGAACGCGCCACAUGCAAAAAACAGCUUUAGCGCGCGCCUAUCACCUGGUUUGGCGCGGUGCGCCGCGCUGGCUCCAGCAGCCGCGCUAAAUAUGCAGCACGCGCUACUCGCCGGUGCAUUUCAUAUGGCAUUUUCAACACAAAAUGAAGUUGAUGAACAUUUUCAACACAAUAAAAUUUCACACAAACAAGUUGAAGAAGAAAAGUUCAUGCCCACAAGUUCAAAAUCAUGACCACAAGUUCAUCCAACCAAGUUCAGAAUGCAAAUCAAGUUCAAUACACAAAUGAAAGACACAUCAUUCCUCGUCCUCGUCUUCGUCCUCGUCCUUAUCUUCGGAAGACGAUUCUUCCGCCUACGAAGAUGAAUCUUCCUCCCUCUCUUCAUCGCGCACCGCAUCACGUGAAGCUCCGACGGUGUUGGCAAGAUCUUCAACGGCAUCUUCAUGGGAAUGUGUGCGAGGAGGCACAUCGAAAGACAUUCCGCCCAUGGCGACCGGAGGUGCAUCCAUGCCUCCCAUGAGAGAAGCAAAACUCAUACCUCCCAUGGUGGCCAUACCGGGACCUAAGUGAUCGGUCGGAGCGGUCAAUUCCACUCACGUUGCGAACAUCAAAGUGUUCCUUCAUCCGAAGCCAAUAAGCAUCUCUACUUUGAUCACCUCCAACGGAUGGAUCCCUCGACACUUGCAACCAAGUAUUGCAUAGUAAGAUGUCAUCGGCGUUGCUGUAAUUGCCCGCUCUUCCUUUCGGUGUGUCGACAAUGACCUCACCCUCCUCGUCCACCUCGAACUCAUGGUUUUUGAAAUGCAUGUCAUUGGUUUGAGACCAAUGUGAAUUGUUGGAGCCAACACCCAUCGUUGACAUGUAUGCAUCAUCAUUGAGACUACAAAGUUUUUUGAACAAUGCAAAUAAGCUAUCUAUAUGUGAAUGCAUUCAAAAAAUAACAAAAAAAUGAAAAGUUGGAUUUUUUACCUUGGAGGCAUUUCGUCGAACAUGUUGUGCGCGCCGGUCGCCGGCUCAACGAGUGAGCUCGCCGGCGCUUCGGUAGCCACCGCGCCCGUCGCACGCCCCACAAGCUUCUUCCUCCUCGCCUUGGAGGUGUCGGAGCCGUCCGCCGCCUUGUUUUUCUUCGCCGAUGUCUUGCCCUUAUUUGGCCGCGCUGCAUUGGGGAGCUUUGAGGAGGAGCGGCGGCGGCUCGGGCCAGCGCCGGCGCGACGCCACCCGCCGCCGAGGUCAUCCGCGGCGGCAUGAAGAGGCCGCGCGCGAGGCCGAUGGUCGGAGGAGCUCCGACGGAGGCGAGGACAACGCCACCCAGGCUAGGGUUUGCGGCGGCGGCGGCGGGGGGUCGCGCGAAUAGGACGGGAUGAGUGGGGUUCCGGCACGUGCGUCCAUGGGGUGCGGGUGCCGGCGCUGGGGCGCGUGGGGCUUUGGAGGGAGAGAAUACAAAGCACAACGCGAGCACUCAAGUGUGCCGCGCGCGAAAGCGGGCGCCGCAAAUACACCACGCGAGGUAGCGCUUCCUGCCGCGUGCCCAACUCCUUAUACCGCGCGAGCGGUUAUUGCGCGCCCGCUGGAGCCAUCCGCCGGGUUGCGCGUGCGCUAAACUGGGUAUAUUUACGGCGCAGCACCUGUUUAGCGCGCCUGUUGGAGAUGCUUUUACAAAUCCACAAGUUCAAUUAUCCGAACAACAAAGUUAAAAGCAAAAGAUACAAGCCUACAGGCAGAAUCACAGCAGCGCAGCGCUGACAAGCCAACAAUAAGAAGGAAAUGGGCUAUCGAGGUAGCGAGGGGCGGUGAUGAGCCGGUGAUGUCCCCUAUGGUGGUCGGCGCAUCUCAGUGCACCUUGCUCGCACCUUUGUUACGAGCUCCUGCACGCGUCCUCUGUCUUGUGGUUUUGCCAGUAGCUUCCAAAGCUGCAAGAAAGACACCAUUUUGUAUAGAAGAUCAGCUGGAUGCUUGAUAAAAUGAACAUACAAAAUGAAGGUGGUUAUUCGUACGAAACUGCCUGUGGCAAGAAGGGAAUAGAAAGCGGGAUGAAAUCACAUGUGUUGUCCAUGAUAUUGGAGGCGGUUUGCACAACCGCCGACUUUGUGCAGAGUAUUAACGAAUCAGGCUUUGAGGAGGAAAUGAAACUAGUGUUGUAAUAUAUUCCAAAAAUAUUUGGUUCCAGGAAACAUUUGAAUUAAUAGUAUAUCAGAAAAACAUAAAAAACAUAUUAUAUAUAUUUGUCCAAUAUAGGUAGUAAAAUAAUAUAAUGGUUUUUUUCCCAUUCAUGUUGGGUGGGCCUUCGAUGAGGUGGCAUAUGUGCAUGGCUUAUAUGUGUAUGUUGAAAUAAAUAGAAUUAAUGAGGGUCAAUCCAUAAUAAAAAAUAAUUCUCAUGCAUAUUGUGAUGGAUCGUUGAUAAUGUGACAUGUGUGCAUGUUAAGAUAAUAGAAAUAACGAGGAUAAACUACUUAGGUAUGUAGGAUAUGUUUUCAAUCUCAUUUUAUGGUACGUAUUGAUUAUGCAGAUUUGAUGAACGUUUUGGCAAAACCAUUAACUAUAGAAUGUUCUAGGCCAGAAAUACAUAUGAUUUAAUGGGAUGAUAUAUUUAGCAUAUUUGAUGAGGCAGUUGAUGGAAUGAUAAUUAGGAACAAAAUAAAUGAAAUUAAAGUACGAUUGACUUCGAUUUCGUUGGGCAGCAUAUAUAAUACGUGGUCAGGGCCUCAGUCUACAUGCACUUCCCAGUUCCUCAUAUUCCUUGAUACAAUUUGUAAGCAGCAACAAUUAGCUAGCCAUGGCCAACCAGCAUCUGCUCCUCAUCGUCUUCAUAGCUUUCAUCCUCCAAGCGGCCACCUCCGACACAGCGUACGAACUUUUGGAGAAAAACAACUUCCCGCGGGCUCUCCUGCCUCAGGGUGUGAAGUCGUACGUGAACCAUGGGGGCGCCGUUGAGGUGACCCUCCCCACCUCGUGCGACUUCAACGUUACGGUUGCCGGUGGAUCACACAAGAUUCGGUUUGACAGCAUAGUCAGUGGGGUUAUCCGGCCCGGAUCCAUAACUCAACUGGGCGGCGUGAGGAUCCAGUUUGAGUGGGAUUUUCUUGCAUUCCACACGGUUCAACGCGUCGGUGACAAGCUCAGGUUUACUGGUAGUGAGCAUGCAGCCACAUUCGACCAGUCAUUUCCGGUUAGCAACUUCGUGCAGAGCCCCACGUGCAGCUAAGGGUGUGAUCGAUUAGGGAUGCAUGCACGCCUUUCAUAUAAUGUAGUAUCCAAUAUGAAUGUGUUUGUGUGAGUCCAUUGCUUUAUGUAGAGUGAAUAAACUGAUUAUGUAAUAAGUCAUGGUUCCAAGACGUAAUAUUAUUGCGAUGAUCAUAAUUUUCUUGCACAAUUAUUUAUUGCGAGAUGUUGCAACGGUUCAUCCUAAUCAUAGGAACAAGAUAUUCCACAUGAUAUACUCUGUCGUAGUCUUGCAAGUAAUUAGAAAUAACCUUUAUCUACAUAGCAUGAGAUCUAAGGGUGUGUGAUGGGUUGUAAAAUAUCAUAGGGCUUACUGGAAAAUAGAACAACAAAUCAACUCAAUCCUAAUGUGGUAUGCUAGGAUAUGGUUCAUAUAUGCAGAAGCUAUUUACCUUCUUUCUGUCAGAAAGCAUGACUUGUUUUAUCUCUAUUAUAUUAGUCAUGCUUUGUCUAGUAUUUAUGUUAAUAAAAUCAUUUGGUAAAUUGCUCAUAUUUCCAACAGUAAUUCCCAUUCAGCAACAUGGACGAUAAUAAUAUUUUCUUGUGAUCCAUACAAAAAGUUCAAAAUUAGCCAAAAUACUGAACGGGGAUGUCCCGGUAGCUACACCUACUUUUUAUGGUCAGAAUCGGUGGAAUCGGAUGCGCUGCCUAAGAUUUGGUAGUAGACAUCCCGGACGGCAGGGUGGUGGCGGGGCUGAGAACGGCAGAUUGAGUCGCGGCGGCGGCAUGCGCUGCGACAGUCGGUCAGAGUAGGUGUGGCGACCAUCGGUGGUGGGGUAGUCUCAUCGCGAGUGGUUGGGUUCCUGCUGCAUUGUUUUUGGUUUCAGCGCAGCUGCUAGAUAUGUGUAAGAAAAUUUUGGGUAACUUUCUUUUGCAACAUAUGGGUAUAUAGGGCAUCUUUUGGACACUUUUUGUUUGCCCAAAGUGACCUAACUGACAACCUUUUUGACACAACGGCUAUUUUAAAGAAAGCAUAUUAAGCUGAGUGUGCAAACCACCUAGCAAAGGCUGAUUUCACCUCGGCAGGUUUGACACUCAGCGUAACGCACUCAGCGUACAUCAUGUCGGUCGGCAUACCGACGUAAGCCGAGUGCCUUUCGUCCACUAGUAGAGAAAUGACAGAACAAAACAUCGUAGGGUGUGCGAUGGGUUGUCCGAUUGUGAGUUAUGCCUGGUGCUAUGUUUGCUUGUAAAAAAUGAGUAAUUGUAUAAUGUAGCACUUAUUUUAGACCUAGUCUAGCCCAUUCAUCGCACACGGUUUUGAAAGAGUGUGCGUUGGCACCCCAAUCGCCAACCCAUCCGAGUACACGAUUGUUAAUUAUAACCGUAUGUGAUGGACCCUUCCUAUUGCACAUAGUUUGUAUGUUCUAACUAUGUGUGAUGGACUCAAUAUCGCAUUCAAUUUUUAUGCUCUAACCGCAGCCUAGGCUCGAGAUUAACCCAACACGAUGGUUGAUGAACUAUGAGCAGGCCCUUCUACUAUGUUAGUGAUCACUAGUUUAAAUAGGCAUUAUACUUCUCUCUUAUCUCCUGGCUGGGAUUUGGAUGAUGGUAUCAGGCGGUGUAAUCGUGUAGCUAUGAUGGUGGACGGGCGGCUAGUUAACAAACCAAUUUCCGCAAUUUCAAAUUCUAAUCCCUAGCAAUUCUUGUUGAUCGAGUGAGUUUCUCACAGUUGGUAUAAGAUUCAGUGGUCCUAGAGUUGCCGCGACACCAUCACUGGACGCGGUGGCAUGAUCGGCGAUGAGCGGAGGCGAUGGACAAGUCGUCUGAGGAAGGGUGCAGCAUGUACGCGCUUCAACGAGCGUAUUGCACCGUAGGUCUGGACCGGCUCUUCAAGGAUCACGAUGAGAACCUCCUUCAAGCGGUCGACAAUCUCAUCCAAUCCAACACUGCCACGCUCGAUGGCUUGCUUUCGGCUCAUGACCCAACAAUUAUAAUAGUAUGGAACAAUAAAAAAUUAUAAAUACGUUGGAGACGUAUCAUAACCCAACAAGAUCUAAAUUAAAUAUAUUGCUUGGAGUUGUUUUUUAGUUUAGUUGCAUUGCACAAUUUUUUUUAAGAGAAGCGGAAGGUGGAGAGGUAGGCACCUGGUCCUCCGCACUCUUCAUUUUGGAUAUGGUACUGAGCCUCUCUGACGGUCUGGGAGUUCAUGCUAUAACAUUGUGGAAAUUUAGAUCGAGAUGUUAGGUAUGAGUCUGUGCUGGCCUAAGUAGGCAUCCUGAAAGAGAUGAUCUCCACAAUGAGGAGAUAAUCAUUCUAUGCACCGCAUACCGAUGUAAAACUCAAGUAUAUCUAAAUGAAAUAUUUCUUUCUUGCGGGUGUUUUAUGUUUUAGUUGCACUGCACAACAUUAUUUGAAGAGAAGAGAACCCUCAUUGGUACCCAAGCCAACAUAAAGGAUCAAACUGUUGGGGAUGUUGAUGUUUCCCCUUGAUUCAUUUUUAGGUUUUUGCAUAUGUUUCAUAUGUUGGCUGUGAAGUGCGUAAAUGAAUGUUGCUCUGAAAUUUUAAUUCAAUAUGCAGGUCUAUUAUGAGAUGCAAAGCUUUGUGCAAAUGAAUGAUGUAUGCCUAUGUUUAUUUGAAUGUUUACUUUCAAUUUCAUUCACGUGACUAGUUAAGUAAUAAAAAAAUUGAGGAGUGUUUCAUCUGACUAUCAUUAGCCGGGGAGAGUUCCUAAAGAAAACAUUUAUACCCCUAACUUCUUCUUUUAGAAAGGAGGCGCUUGCUCGGCCUUAAAUUGAGGCCCUUAGAGCAUCUACAACAGGCGCCGAACGCGCCGCGCGCAAAAAACAGCUUUAGCGCACGCCUAUCGUCUGGUUUGGCGCGGCGCGCAGCGCUGGCUCCAGCAGCCGCGCUAAAAUGCAGCGCGCGCGCCGAUCCAGCAGCGUGCAAAAAUGCAGCGCGCGCGACUCGCCGGUGCAUUUCAUAUGGCAUUUUCAACACAAAAUGAAGUUGAUGAACAUUUUCAACACAAUAAAAUUUCACACAAACAAGUUGAUGAAGAAAAGUUCAUGCCCACAAGUUCAAAAUCAUGACCACAAGUUCAUCCAACCAAGUUCAAAAUGCAAAUCAAGUUCAAUACACAAAUGAAAGACACAUCAUUCCUCGUCCUCGUCCUCGUCUUCGUCCUCAUCCUCAUCUUCGGAAGACGAUUCUUCUGCCUCCGAAGAUGAAUCUUCCUCCCUCUCUUCAUCGCGCACCGCAUCACGUGAAGCUCCGACGGUGUUGGCAAGAUCUUCAACGGCAUCUCCAUGGGAAUGUGUGUGAGGAGGCACAUCGAAAGACAUUCCGCCCAUGGCGGCCGGAGGUGCAUCCAUGCCUCCCAUGAGAGAAGCAAAACUCAUACCUUCCAUGGUGGCCAUACCGGGACCUAAGUGAUCGGUCGGAGCGGUCAAUUCCACUCACGUUGCGAACAUCAAAGUGUUCCUUCAUCCGAAGCCAAUAAGCAUCUCUACUUUGAUCACCUCCAAUGGAUGGAUCCCUCGACACUUGCAACCAAGUAUUGCAUAGUAAGAUGCCAUUGGCGUUGCUGUAAUUGCCCGCUCUUCCUUUCGAUGCGUCGACAAUGCCCUCACCCUCCUCGUCCACCUCGAACUCAUGGUUUUUGAAAUGCAUGUCAUUGGUUUGAGACUAAUGUGAAUUGUUGGAGCCAACACCCAUCGUUGACAUGUAUGCAUCAUCAUUGAGACUACAAAGUUUUUUGAACAAUGCAAAUAAGCUAUGUAUAUGUGAAUGCAAUCAAAAAAUAACAAAAAAUGAAAAGUUGGAUUUUUUUACCUUGGAGGCAUUUCGUCGAACAUGUUGUGCGCGCCGGUCGCCGGCUCAACGAGUGAGCUCGCCGGCGCUUCGGUAGCCGCCGCGCCCGUCGUACGCCCCGCAAACUUCUUCCUCCUCGCCUUGGAGGUGCCGGAGCCGUCCGCCGCCUUGUUUUUCUUCGCCGAUGUCUUGCCCUUCUUUGGCCGCGCCGCAUUGGGGAGCUUUGAGAAGGAGGGGCGGCGGCUCGGGCCAGCGGCGGCGCGACGCCACCCGUCGCCGAGGUCAUCCGCGGCGGCAUGAAGAGGUCGCGCGCGAGGCCGAUGGUCGGAGGAGCUCUGGCGGAGGCGAGGCCAAUGCCACCCGGGCUAGGGUUUGCGGCGGCGGCGACGGGGGGUCGCGUGAAUAGGACGGGGUGAGCGGGGUUCCGGCACGUGCGUCCAUGGGGUGCGCGUGCCGGUGCCGGGGCGCGUGGGGCUUUGGAGGGGGAGAAGACAGAGCACAGCGCGAGCGCUCGAGUGUGCCGCGCGCGAAAGCGGGCGCCGCAAAUACACCGCGCGAGGUAGCGCUUCCUGCCGCGUGCCCAACUCCUUAUACCACGCGAGCGGUUAUUGCGCGCCCGCUGGAGCCAUCCGUCGGGUUACGCGCGCGCUAAACUGGGUAUAUUUACGGCGCGGCGCCUGUUUAGCGCGCCUGUUGGAGAUGCUCUUACAAAUCCACAAGUUCAAUGAUCCGAACAACAAAGUUAAAAGCAAAAGAUACAAGCCUACAGGCAGAAUCACAGCGGCGCAGCGCUGACAAGCCAACAACAAGAAGGAAAUGGGCUAUCGAGGUAGCGAGGGGCGGUGAUGAGACGGUGAUGUCCCCUACGGUGGUCGGCGCAUCUCAGUGCACCUUGCUCGCACCUUUGUUACGAGCUCCUGCACGCAUCCUCUGUCUUGUGGUUUUACUAGUAGCUUCCAAAGCUGCAAGAAAGACACCAUUUUGUAUAGAAGAUCAGCUGGAUGCUUGAUAAAAUGAACAUACAAAAUGAAGGUGGUUAUUCGUACGAAACUGCGUGUGGCAAGAAGGGUAUAGAAAGUGGGACGAAAUCACAUGUGUUGUCCAUGAUAUUGGAGGCGGUUUGCACAACCGCCGACUUCGUGCAGAGUAUUAACGAAUCAGGCUUUGAGGAGGAAAUGAAACUAGUGUUGUAAUAUAUUCCAAAAAUAUUUGGUUCCAGGAAACAUUUGAAUUAAUAGUAUAUGAGAAAAACAUAUUAUAUAUUUGUAUAGUUGAAAAAUAUUUGUCCAAUAUAGGUAGUAAAAUAAUAUAAUGGUUUUUUUCCAUGCAUGUUGGGUGGGCCUUCGAUGAGGUGGCAUAUGUGCAUGGCUUAUAUGUGUAUGUUGAAAUAAAUAGAAUUAAUGAGGGUCAAUCCAUAAUAAAAAAAUAAUUCUCAUGCAUAUUGUGCUGGAUCGUUGAUGAUGUGACAUGUGUGUAUGUUAAGAUAAUAGAAAUAACAAGGAUAAACUAUUUAGGUAUGUAGGAUAUGUUUUUAAUCUCAUUUUAUGGUACGUAUUGAUUAUGCAGAUUUGAUGAACGUUUUGGCAAAACCAUUAACUAUAGAAUGUUCUAGGCCAGAAAUAAAUAUGAUUUAAUGGGAUGAUAUAUUUAGCAUAUUUGAUGAGGCAGUUGAUGGAAUGAUAAUUAGGAACAAAAUAAAUGAAAUUAAAGUACGAUUGACUUUGAUUUCGUUGGGCAGCAUAUAUAAUACGUGGUCAGGGCCUCAAUCUACAUGCACUUCCCAGUUCCUCAUAUUCCUUGAUACAAUUUGUAAGCAGCAACAAUUAGCUAGCCAUGGCCAACCAGCAUCUGCUCCUCAUCGUCUUCAUAGCUUCCAUCCUCCAAGCGGCCACCUCCGACACAGCGUACGACCUUUUGGAGAAAAACAACUUUCCGCGGGCUCUCCUACCUCAGGGUGUGAAGUCGUACGUGAACCAUGGGGGCGCUGUUGAGGUGACCCUCCCCGCCUCGUGCGACUUCAACGUUACGGUUGCCGGUGGAUCACACAAGAUUCGGUUUGACAGCAUAGUCAGUGGGGUUAUCCGGCCCGGAUCCAUAACUCAACUAGGCGGCGUGAGGAUCCAGUUUGAGUGGGAUUUUCUUGCAUUCCACACGGUUCAACGCGUCGGUGACAAGCUCAGGUUUACUGGUAGUGAGCAUGCAGCCACAUUUGACCAGUCAUUUCCGGUUAGCAACUUCGUGCAGAGCCCCACGUGCAGCUAAGGGUGUGAUCGAUUAGGGAUGCAUGCACGCCUUUCAUAUAAUGUAAUAUCUAAUAUGAAUGUGUUUGUGUGAGUCCAUUGCUUUAUGUAGAGUGAAUAAACUGAUUAUGUAAUAAGUCAUGGUUCCAAGACCUAAUAUUAUUGCGAUGAUCAUAAUUUUCUUGCACAAUUAUUUAUUGCGAGAUGUUGCAGCGGUUCAUCCUAAUCAUAGGAACAAGAUAUUCCACAUGAUAUACUCUGUCGUAGUCUUGCAAGUAAUUAGAAAUAACCUUUAUCUACAUAGCAUGACAUCUAAGGGUGAGUGAUGGGUUGUAAAAUAUCAUAGGGCUUACUGGAAAAUAUAAGAACAAAUCAACUCAAUCCUAAUGUGGUACUCCCUUCAUAUCUCUUUUGUCUGCAUAUCAGAUUUGGUCAAAGUCAAACUUUGUCAACCUUGACUAAGUUUAUAGAAAAAACAUAAAGAUUCACAAUAUGAAAUCAAUAUUGUUAGAUGCAACAUGAAACUAACUUUCAUACCAUAUAACUUUAGUAUUGUAGAUGUUCCAACAAAGUUGGUCAAACUUUACAAAGUUUGACUUUGAUCAAAUAUUAUAUGUAGACUAAAAAGAAACGGAUGGAGUAAUAUUAUUUAUGAUAUCUGACAUUGACAGCCACUAAAAUACUCUCUCCAUUUUUAUUUAGUCUGCAUAUUAGAUUUGACUGAAGUCAAAUUUCAUAAAAUUUGACCAAGUUUAUAGAAAACAAUAUAAACAUUUAUUAUAACAAAUGUAUAUGAUGUAAAAGUACAUUCAACAAUAAAUCUAAUAAUAUUGGUUUGUUAUUGUAUAUGUUAGCAUUUUUUUAUAAGCUUUGACAAAGUAUGCAAAGCUUGACUUCGACCAAAGCUAAUACAACUAAGUAAAAACGGAGGGAGUAAGAAAGGAGAGUAACCCACUGACGUCGACUGAGGCACUUUAAUAGGAUGCGGGGCACAAAAGGUAGGUCCGAAGUCCAAGAGUUAUGGAUAUCCGUGGUUGUUUGUCUUUUCCCCUUCUCAACCAUUCACAAUCAGAGUUUAAAUAUGAUGCAAGCAGUGAUACCUUGCUGCUUGCUCUGCAUGUCGUCAUCAGGCGUCGCACAACCGCUGAUGUGGAUCAUCGCCGUGAGAGACGGCGAUCCAUUACUGUUUGCUUAAUGCAUUGUCGUUGGUUGUCUCACGAGUGCCGCCUAUCGUCGCCACCGGAGCCAAUGAUCCCUUGUUGCUUGCUCCGCAUGUUGUUGACCGCCGUCUCGCCGCUGCCACGACUUCCCUGGUCUCGCCGCAUGUACGCAAUGUCAGGGUCAUGUACGUUGCCCACUGCCUGACCGAGCUGGCCCAUGUUGUGCAAGGUAGUCCUUUAUCAACCAUGCAAGUAGCACUUUUCUCCUUUCAGAUCUUAUACUCAAGGAGUAUAUGAUACAGAAACUACACACAAAUUGUGCUACCUGUGUUUUACAUCUUGCAGAUUAUGCUCAUUCUUCUUUCAACCGGUUAUGCGAUGCUCCGAAGAAGGUGAUUCUUCACCAAUCCUAAAGAAUACGACAGUUCAUGUACGAUGAUACAAUUGGGUAAUUUUGCACACUUCACUUUAACGAUGGGUGCACACCUACUAUUCAUGUAUCAUGAUGAUGCAGAGGUCGGAUUACCUUUUGUUAAAAAAACACCUAUGAUCCAUGCAAAUGUAUGUGAGAAAUCAUAUCGUACAUGUUGAAUUGAUAAAAUUCUAAUCUCCAACAUAAAAUUCUUGCCCGGACCAUAUCCACAUCCCCCUUAAUAAACAUCACCCUGUUGUAAAUGAGAAACAUUCUCAUACUUCUAUGUGUUUUGAGUCAUACAAAAGUACAAAUAUAUCAUCCAUACUUUUUCUGUAAACCUCUAUUGUGAUGCAUAUGUUGGCCUCUUGACCUUAUGUAAAUGUAGAUUGUCAGUGUUGUAGAAUGUGCAAGUCACCUGUAGAGAUUUGGCACAUAAGUUUGGAUCCUGGCCUUCCUCGGAAUAUUUAUGAAAAAAAGUCCUCAUAAACGUGCAGGGCAUUAUCUAAUUUCAUAUAAACUCAAGGAUAGAAGUGUUUGGGUGUACAAAAGAGGUGGCCAGGGUGUCAUAGGAGGUGGUCGGGGCACUGGCUAGAGUGCCUAAACACCUUUCUAUCUUCUCUCUCUACCUUCUCUCCUCUACUGGUGCUCCUAUGAGGGAGUGGCGUUGCUAGAGUAUGCAAAAGUUGUCCUCUAUUCAACCACGGCCCUCCCCUUAUAUAGAUCCAGGGGUACCACCCUUGGUCAUGUUAAUAAAUACAGUACAUUGUACAAAGGAGGAUAUUCGUCGCACUUUGUCCACUUGCCUCUGUUGAUCAGCCAGGAGAUAACCUGACUGCGUCGGACGGGACGCGCCACAUCGCCCUCAUGUCUUUAUUUAUGGUCAUUGUCCCGUCUUGCCUCGUGCCUCCUUGGUCGUCGUGAUGAUGGCCCUAAGUGUAGCCCUAUACUGGGCUAAGCUAGUAGCCUUGUCAGGUAUUUAAGGCUUGGUUGGUGGAGUGUGCAGCAAGGCGAGCGAAGACGUGUGUCCUACCAGCUGAAGGAGGUAGCCCCCGUGUGCAUCAUGGAUGACAUCAGGGCCCUCCUCAGGGAUCUCCUAUAAUUUUUACAUCUUUGGGUUUGUAUUUUUACCAUGACAUCGUGACUUUCUUUUAACUAAAACACAAAAUGUAUUUACGGUCGAGCGGGACAUACCCUAUAUUUUAAUACUCCAUCGCAUGUGGAAGUACAGAAACUCUAUAAUGUGGUCUACUGUUAAACAUAUAUGGUGGCAGAUUUACUUGACACUCAAGAAGUGGAUGAUAUUGUUCAGGGAGAACCCGUUGGAAACUCUGAAACGGGUCUCACAGCAGAUCGCAAUUGUUCUCACCUCUCCCUUCUUGCUGACAGUGGGGUGGUCGAUGGCCUAGUCACUCAUGGUGUCUUGAGCUAUGAUGCUCUCACCAAGAUGUCUCUGGGAUUUGUAGAGUGGAGUACAGGGAGUCUACGCUCGAGGCUUUAUAUGUCUCCUCCAAGAAGCCCCGGCGUAGACAACAAUUGCCUGUCGGCGCCUAGCCCUAUCACUCCACUAGAACUGCCGCUAUCACUGAUCUAGCCGAUUAAAAAGAUCAGGAGCAGAGGAUAUAUUAGUCUUGGGGAGCGGAUCCAGCGCUGGGUGGUGACCAUAUGUUGUUGGGUGCUUGAAGUUUGAGUAUUUUGGCUCUAGCCUUCCUGUGUUUGUCUUUUGGCAUUGGCCCAACUAUAGGGAGAAGUAAUAAAUUGUACUGCAUGGAAGGUGAGGCUUUGUUGAGCCUGUAGUAGUAAAUGGAAAAACAGAAGGAUGAGAAGACCAAACAUGAUAUAAAGAUUGCUAUUAGGAGCGGAUACUUACUAUGACAAAUUUCAACGUAGCCCAUAUAUAUCUCGCCUCUAUCAGCAGCAACUGCAACACCUUGAAGAAUGAAGCAUAGGAGGAGAACAUAGGCUUGACACAUCUGAAUCAAUGUAGAUAACUGAAUUUACUUGUGCUACGGAUUCCUGAGAAUCACUAUGGCUGUGGAUUUCUGAGAAACAGUUGUGGCUCUGUAUUCCCAAGAGUCAGAAUCUGACUGUUUGUUUACCUUGUUGUUGGUCAGCUGUAGGAGAUGUGGGUUUUGUGACAUGUUAGUAACGCCCCUGAGUGUUGACUAUGAUAUUUAUAUGCAGAUUAAAGCACAAGUUGUCUAUUUUGACUAGAUAAAGUGAGAGUUAGCGGAAAAAACAACCAUUUUUCAGAGAAAAAAUAUGCGGAAAACGUUGAUGUGAAACUUAUAACCAAAUAAACAGUGAGGGGGCACCAACUAAAACUAGUAGUACUGCCUCUGUACCAAAAUAUAAGACGAUUGUGCUAUGGAGGGAGUAUUCAUUACAGCAUGGCAAGGCUAUAUGUUCUAUUCAUGGUCUAUUCUCCUCUCUGCUUCUACAGGAAUGAUGAGGGUCUUUUUAGACUCCCAGGAGGGCAAAUGCCCCCCCUCCCGGUUCCAUUUCAUUGAAACAGAACAGAGUACCUCAUACAAGCACACUAAGAGAAACUCCACCAUGCAUGUCCAAAACUACAAAAAAAAGGAAAAUGAUCCUGGAGCAGUCCGUUGUUCAUUGUCGACAAGCCUUUGGAUGGCUGGCUUCCAGCCAAGAUUGGUAUCUCCGUGGAAAAGGCAAUCCAUGUCGGCACCCUCGAGCUGAGACUAGAUCGUGUCGUGCUUAGGGAUAGGCUGGAUCUCACCAGGUGAUUUUGCAGAAAGUAACUCAUUUAAUAUGUUUGAGUCUCUCCUCGAUGAUCAAAGCAAUUCUAUUUUCCACGCAAAAAAGCUCGAUUUUUUCCACCAAUGCUUUGGAUCCUAUCAUCUCUUAUAUCAGCAACUGUUGCACAAUGCGUCGAGGCUGAGCGACGAAGUUGUUGCCCUCUCAACGGGUAAAAAUCCGCAACAUGUUAUUUGUCUCGAUCUCCAAUUGCAAGCCCUGAUUUGAUAUUUCGCUUGCAGAAUGGCGGCAAUAGUAAAAGAGCAUAUAGCAGCGGGACAAGUCACCACGGCAAAAAUGACGUGGAUGAAUCUCAUUGAUUUGGUUGAGCGAUGGCGUGGUAACUAAAUAGUAACUAGAUGAUACCCCGCGCGUUGCUGUGGAAACCUAGUUAAAAAUUUGUAUAAUAGGUGCUACAAAAUGAACUAAAACUAAAGCAACACAAACAUUAAUUUUAAACAUUAAAAACAUGAAGCAUGUAGCAAAAUAAUAUAUAAAGAAGUGCAAAACCUCUAAAUUAUAGUACUAUAUAUAAAUGCUAUUUCUGGCAAAAAAGAAACAUUAACUACAUAGGUAUUCUCUCAGCAUUCAACACAUGUUGUUGAUGACAAUACCAAAAAAAGUCGACACACAUACUGUUAGAGUUAGUACAUGGGCUGAUAAGGUAAGUGGGCACAAUUGUACACCAAAAAAGAUAUUAAUGAGACAUCCAUCUCUGUUUUAAGUUUUAACCUGUUUUGCACAUCAAUCUUGGCAAAUAUCGCCCUCUUUUUCUAUAAAAAUGAGAUACACAUAAGUAUCAUUAUUAACUGCAUGCAUUUGCGUGUAUAAGCAUAAUAUGAAUCAACAAUUUGACCUUCCAAUAUGAGAUUUGCUCAAAUCUCGAUGCACACUCUAUAUCCUCAGCGUAAGCUAGUGUAACAAUACUUGAAAGACAUGAAACAUGCAUCUUACGACUACAUAAUCAGUUGCACUUUCUUCGGGCAUAAAAUUAAUCUGAAGUUUUUUAUUUCCAAAAAAUAGUGGACUGUAAAUUUGUGUAGUCAACUAACAGGACAUGAGUUGAGGAGGGGGGUGGUUGAUUAUUCAUAUGGCUGUAUAAAAACUUCUUUUUCUUGUUUUACAACACCGUGGAUGAAGGUAAAUUUUGGUAGUCAUCAACAUAUAUUGUGAAAUUGACCAUGAAUAUGAAGAAAAUAACAGGUGGAUGACAUUAGUGACAAAUAUAUCAAUGGAUAUGAAAGAUUUAAAUGGGUACGUCUGCACAUGUACUGAAAAGCAACAAACAUGUCUGUCUCAACAGUGGAGUAAUAAGAAGGGACCACGGGUCAAGUGUAAGGAAUGAUAUACAACAAUUAAGUAUUAAACUGUAGUCAGGCCAUGACUUACUUUCUUCGUAAAAGUAAUCUUGUUCAUAUAUAGUUCUCACCUGAAACUUUGAGGCAGCUUAUUUAUGAUCGUAUGAUGCUUUGUCAUAACCCUGACGUGUUGUUGUAUGAAAUGAUCAGAGAUUAAGAUUUAUUCCAGUAGCAUCCCACACAAAAAGUUAGUUAGGAACCAUAUCAUACCAGAAUGGAUUCCAGCAAUCUGAACUUCCCCACGAUCCUGAAAAUUGCUUCCUUUUUUUGCGCCAACCUGAAAAUUGGUUCCGCCUAACUGAAAGAUUCCAAGUUGUAUGAUACAUGUGAAUCUACUGCCAUCUGUAGAGACAAACUUACAUAAAAGAAAAUUCGAGAUUUUCCUAAUCAAUUACUCCUACAUGCCAAAGCAUGCAGAAAUCAGAUUGUGCAAGUAACUUGCGUAAGUCAUGUAUAUCAUACAAUUCCCUUUCUAUCAAAUAAAAAGGAAGAGAGUAAAUUAAUGCCACAACCAGGAUGUAGUCUUGUUUUUCUAAUUCCAAAUCAAUCUCUUUUUAGGGGACUUCUGAUUAAUCUAGGAGAAGAUGUAUGUACCUCAUUGCCUCCGGUUCUUGAUGUGUGAUGUCGUCUCUAGUCAUGCUCUCCCGUAGACAGAGCCGCUGCCACACUCGGUCAUGCUCCCCUACCUUCUCUCUCACAUAGUUGCAAGAUGUCUUAUCCUUCUCGUCUCUCCCUCUCAGAUCGGUCGAGCGGCUGCAGGCGGAAGGAGCCGAGCUGCGGAAGGGAGGUACAGAUCAGUCCUCGACCAGACGGACAGCUUCAGCGGCUAAGAGUAGGAUCUGGGCGCUUCGUUCAAACCGGUAGUACGGUGGCACCACUGCAGCUGCAACCAUUGUAGUCUGCUCGACAUGGACGUGGUGGCGCUCGGCUGUCGCUUCCGCAGCCAAAAGUCGGGCCGCCACAAAAGCUAGAAGCCAUGGCUGCCAGACCUAGGAAAGGGGUUGGAGCACAAGCUCCUAGCUGCCGCUCAUCUUCCAUGGAGGCAGAUUUCCAACCGGAGAGAAGAUGGGACGUGCAGACGAAACGAAGGAGUAUAUGCGGUGGGGAGUUGAGGAGAAGAUGGUGUGUCUCUUUAAAGAGUAGAUAGACUAUUUGAUCGGUUUCAGAAUACGAAGAGGAACCAAGGAACCGAUGCGUACUAAAAAAUUUAAAUCACAUAAUUUGUUUUGUGGCUUUUUUUCUUUGGCUGAGGUGGCAAAUUUGCUGAGGUGGUUGGUUGGAUGUUGUUGUUGAUGUGGGUAGGCUGCAUGUCAAGAGAAAUCAUCUAGUGGGGGGCUCCUAUUUAAAUAUAGAAGAUUAGUAACAUAGAGUUUGUUUUGUUUGAGUCUAGAGUUUCCCCAUCAAAUGUUUGGCUAGCCAAAAUAUUGGUCAAGGUUUUGUGUGCCUAUGAGUUUGCCAACUUUGACUAAAAAUGAAGUAAAGUUGGUAAGGAGCCAUCGGCAUGCCAAACAAUUGCAACCAACCAAAUGAAAAUCAAAGUUGUGGUCAUAACAAAAAAAUUGCUAAGAUACAUAUUGGGUACAAAGGAUACCAAAUACUUGUACAUAAGGUUCACGGUGUAGGCCAGAACAACUUGUAGCACACAUUUACUAGGAUCCCCUUUCCUGCCUUUGAUAGCCUUUGACCCUUCCACCCUGGUCCACACGACAACGUGGUGAUCCGCUCGUUCGUGUCGCGGUGGUAAAUCCAGACGUCCGCAGCGCCACAGUUGAAGCUCUUUCCAUCCGCAGUGUCACGGUUGCAGAUCCACCCAUCGGCGGCUGCGCGAUGGCACCACGAGGACUGGAUUGGAUCGUCGCCAGCACCGACCUCCACCAAGGCCUUCGAAUCUCCGGCACGGUGAGCUCCCAAUCUUUCGCCAUAGAUUAUAAAUUUUUCUAUGGAUAGUUGUUGCUUCUAAGGUAAGCGAUUUUAUGCUUAUUUGACAAUUUUUAGUUGAUGAGAUUUCUAAGAUUGGCCAAGUAAACCAAAAAGGAGGGAGUAUAGUUAGGUUUUUGUUUUAGACCAAUGAUAAACUGGUAGCCUUUACUUGUAUCAUAGGCGUGGCUGGCUUUGACUUUUUGUUUUGUUGAAGCAUAAACAAAAUUCUUUAACUCAUGCUUGUCAAAGCAGUUAUACCUUUAAUGUAAAAAAUUAAGGUGAAUUACGUUAUCUGAGGUCUGAAUCUUUGUCUCUCUUCCUUCUAGAUUAUAUACCUAUGUGUUGACCCCCUAACAUAAUUAUGUCAAAUAUAACCCAACAAGAUAUUUUUUUUGCUUGCUGUUGUUUUUUAUUUUAUUUGCAUUGCACAAGAAAAAUUUAAGAGAAGAGAUGCUAAGCUUUGUGGAAAUGAAUGAUGUAUGACUAUGUUUAUUUGAACGAUUACUUUCAAUUUCAUCAUGUGACAGGUUAAGUAAUACGAAAAUCGAGGAGUGUUUUAUCUGACUAUCAUUAGCAGAGGCGAGUACCUAAAAGAAAACAUUUAUAUCCCUAACAUAAAAAAUGAAGGCGGUUAUUCGUACAAAAUUGCCUGUGGCAAGAAGGGUAUUGGAAGCAGGACAAAACCGCAUGUGUUGUCGACGAUACACAACAGCCGACUCCAUGCGAAGUAUUAGCGACAUAGGCUUUGAGGCGCAACUGAAAACAGCCGCUGGUCGUCUAUGUACAAGAACCACCUCCAAUGCUUGAUUUUGUAUACUAGUGAAAUUAGAUGAUACCCCUUGUGUUGCUAUGAGAAUAUGUUGCAAUAUAUUUCAAUAAGAUUUGAUUGUAAGAAACAUUUGAAUUAAUAGUAUAUGAAAAAACUUAGAAUACAUAUUAUAUAUUGUAUAGUUGAAAAUAUUUGUUGAAUAUAGGUAGUAAAAUAAUAUAAUGGAUUUUCCCCAUGCAUGUUGGGCAGGCCUUCGAUAAGGAGGCAUAUGUGCAUGGCUUAUGUGUGUAUGUUGAAAUAAAAAGAAUUAGUUGAACCAACUUGUGGUUGGAUGGUUAGAGGGACUGUGCUAUUCUUAGCCCACCAAGGUUCAAGUCCCGGUGCUCGCGUUUAUUCCUGGAAUUUUUUCAGGAAUCCCGGCGAUGCGCAUUCAGUGGGAGGAGACGUUCCCGUCGACGAUAAAGUGCAUACGGUGACUUCGUAAAUUUGAAGAUGAUAUGCCAGCUCAGUCUUUCGGAGGUGCUCAUAGGGGUAGGGUGUGCGUGUGUGCAUUCAUAGGGGUGAGUGUAUGCGUGUGUAUAUGAGCGCUUGCGUGUGUACUGUGUUCAAAAGAAAUAAAAAGAAUUAAUGAGGAUUAAUUAAUAAUAAUAAUAAAAUAAUUCUCAUACAUGUUGUGGUGGACGUUUGAUGAUGUUGCAUGUGUGCAUGUGUUAUAAGACAAAAAUAAUAAUGAGGAUGUGAACUAUUGAUGUAUAUAGGAUAUGUUUUCAAUCUCAUAUUAUGGUACAUAUUGAUUAUGCAGAUUUGAGAAAGGUUUUAAAUUUGGCAAACUAUGGAAUGUUUGACUAGGCCAAAAUUAAGUGCCGUUUAAUUGGACGAUAUAUUUAGCAUAUUUGUGAGCUGAUUGAUGGAAUGCUAAUUGGAAACAAAAUAAAUGCAAUUAAAAUACGAUUGUCUUUGAUUUCAUUGGGCAUCAUAUAUAAUACGCGGCCAGUGCCUCAAUCUAGACGUACUUCCCGAUUCCUCCUCUUUCUAUAUCGAUACAAUUUGUAAGCAGCAAUAGUUAGCCAUGGCCAUCCAGCAUCUCCUCCUCGUCGUCUUCAUGGCUUCCAUCCUCCAAGCGGCCACCUGUGACACAGCGUACGACCUUUUGGUGAAAAACAACUUCCCGCAGGCUCUUCUGCCUCUGGGCGUGAAGUCAUACGUGAACCAUGGGGGCGCUGUUGAGGUGACCCUCCCCACCUCGUGCGACUUCAACGUCAUAGUUGCUGGCGGACAACACACCUCCAGUUUGACAGCAUAGUCAGUGGGGUUAUCCGGCCCGGAUCCAUAACCCAACUGGGCGGCGUGAGGAUACAGGUGGAAUGGGAUUUUCUUGCAUUCCACACGGUUCAACGCGUUGGUGACAAGCUCAGGUUUACUGGUAGUGAGCAUGCAGCCACGUUUGACCAGUCCUUUCCGGUUAGCAACUUCGUGCAGAGCCCCAGGUGCAGCUAAGGGUGUAAUCGGUUAGGGAUGCAUGCACGCCUUCCAUAUAAUGUAGUAUCCAAUAUGCAUGUGUC
rnacentral:lncRNA from 1 species